UACGAGGGGGGCAAGCGUUGUUCGGAAUUAUUGGGCGUAAAGGGUGCGUAGGCGGUCUGAUAAGUCAUCUGUGAAAUCUAUGGGCUCAACCCAUAAGUCUGCAGGCGAAACUGUCGGGCUUGAGUAUGGGAGAGGUGAGUGGAAUUUCCGGUGUAGCGGUGAAAUGCGUAGAUAUCAGGAGGAACACCGGCGGUGUAGACGGCUCUCUGGACCGUAACUGACGCUGAGACACGAAAGCGUGGGUAGCAAACAGG
rnacentral:rRNA from 1 species